AGUGAACGCUGGCGGCAGGCCUAACACAUGCAAGUCGAGCGGCAGCGCGGGGGCAACCCUGGCGGCGAGCGGCGGACGGGUGAGGAAUUCGUCGGAAUCUGCCUUUUUGUGGGGGAUAACGUAGGGAAACUUACGCUAAUACCGCAUACGUCCUACGGGAGAAAGUGGGGGACCGCAAGGCCUCACGCAGAAAGAUGAGCCGACGACCGAUUAGCUAGUUGGUGGGGUAAAGGCCCACCAAGGCGACGAUCGGUAGCUGGUCUGAGAGGAUGAUCAGCCACACUGGGACUGAGACACGGCCCAGACUCCCACGGGAGGCAGCAGUGGGGAAUAUUGGACAAUGGGCGCAAGCCUGAUCCAGCCAUGCCGCGUGUGUGAAGAAGGCCUUCGGGUUGUAAAGCACUUUUGUCCGGAAAGAAAUCCCUGGAGCUAAUACCUUCGGGGGAUGACGGUACCGGAAGAAUAAGCACCGGCUAACUUCGUG
rnacentral:rRNA from 1 species